rnacentral:rRNA from 1 species
UACAGAGGUCUCAAGCGUUGUUCGGAUUCAUUGGGCGUAAAGGGUGCGUAGGCGGCGCGGUAAGUCGGGUGUGAAAUCUUGGAGCUUAACUCCGAAACUGCAUUCGAUACUGCCGUGCUUGAGGACUGGAGAGGAGACUGGAAUUUACGGUGUAGCGGUGAAAUGCGUAGAUAUCGGUAAGGAAGACCAGUGGCGAAGGCGGGUCUCUGGACAGUUCCUGACGCUGAGGCACGAAGGCCAGGGGAGCAAACGGG